AGCUCAGUGGUAGAGCAUUUGCCUUGCAAGCCUAAGGCCCUGGGUUCGGUCCCCAG
rnacentral:tRNA from 1 species